rnacentral:tRNA from 1 species
GUGGGUGUAGCUCAGGGGUAGAGCAUCGGUUUGUGGUUCCGAGGGUCGCGGGUUCAAUUCCCGUCAUCCACC